rnacentral:rRNA from 1 species
UACAGAGGUCUCAAGCGUUGUUCGGAUUUACUGGGCGUAAAGGGCGCGUAGGCGGUCAGCACAAGUCAGUUGUGAAAUCUCCGGGCUUAACCCGGAAAGGUCAACUGAUACUGUGCGACUAGAGUGCGGAAGGGGCAACUGGAAUUCUCGGUGUAGCGGUGAAAUGCGUAGAUAUCGAGAGGAACACCUGCGGCGAAGGCGGGCUGCUGGGCCGACACUGACGCUGAUGCGCGAAAGCCAGGGAGCGAAGCGGGAU